GCAUUAAUGGGGUAGUGGUAACGGGUCGUUGCCGUAUGCCAUGUAUGCCGCCUUCUCGACCCGCCGGGGGUUUGAUUCCCUCUUAAUGCA